AGUUUGAUCAUGGCUCAGGACGAACGCUGGCGGCGUGCUUAACACAUGCAAGUCGAACGGAAAGGCCCCUUCGGGGGUACUCGAGUGGCGAACGGGUGAGUAACACGUGGGUAAUCUGCCCUGCACUUCGGGAUAAGCCUGGGAAACUGGGUCUAAUACCGGAUAGGACCUCGAGGCGCAUGCCUUGUGGUGGAAAGCUUUUGCGGUGUGGGAUGGGCCCGCGGCCUAUCAGCUAGUUGGUGGGGUGACGGCCUACCAAGGCGACGACGGGUAGCCGGCCUGAGAGGGUGUCCGGCCACACUGGGACUGAGAUACGGCCCAGACUCCUACGGGAGGCAGCAGUGGGGAAUAUUGCACAAUGGGCGCAAGCCUGAUGCAGCGACGCCGCGUGGGGGAUGACGGCCUUCGGGUUGUAAACCUCUUUCAGCAGGGACGAAGCGCAAGUGACGGUACCUGCAGAAGAAGCACCGGCCAACUACGUGCCAGCAGCCGCGGUAAUACGUAGGGUGCGAGCGUUGUCCGGAAUUACUGGGCGUAAAGAGCUCGUAGGUGGUUUGUCGCGUUGUUCGUGAAAUCUCACGGCUUAACUGUGAGCGUGCGGGCGAUACGGGCAGACUGGAGUACUGCAGGGGAGACUGGAAUUCCUGGUGUAGCGGUGGAAUGCGCAGAUAUCAGGAGGAACACCGGUGGCGAAGGCGGGUCUCUGGGCAGUAACUGACGCUGAGGAGCGAAAGCGUGGGGAGCGAACAGGAUUAGAUACCCUGGUAGUCCACGCCGUAAACGGUGGGUACUAGGUGUGGGUUUCCUUCCUUGGGAUCCGUGCCGUAGCUAACGCAUUAAGUACCCCGCCUGGGGAGUACGGCCGCAAGGCUAAAACUCAAAGGAAUUGACGGGGGCCCGCACAAGCGGCGGAGCAUGUGGAUUAAUUCGAUGCAACGCGAAGAACCUUACCUGGGUUUGACAUGCACAGGACGCCGGCAGAGAUGUCGGUUCCCUUGUGGCCUGUGUGCAGGUGGUGCAUGGCUGUCGUCAGCUCGUGUCGUGAGAUGUUGGGUUAAGUCCCGCAACGAGCGCAACCCUUAUUUCAUGUUGCCAGCGGGUAAUGCCGGGGACUCGUGAGAGACUGCCGGGGUCAACUCGGAGGAAGGUGGGGAUGACGUCAAGUCAUCAUGCCCCUUAUGUCCAGGGCUUCACACAUGCUACAAUGGCCGGUACAAAGGGCUGCGAUGCCGCAAGGUUAAGCGAAUCCUUUUAAAGCCGGUCUCAGUUCGGAUCGGGGUCUGCAACUCGACCCCGUGAAGUCGGAGUCGCUAGUAAUCGCAGAUCAGCAACGCUGCGGUGAAUACGUUCCCGGGCCUUGUACACACCGCCCGUCACGUCAUGAAAGUCGGUAACACCCGAAGCCAGUGGCCUAACCCUUUGGGAGGGAGC
rnacentral:rRNA from 1 species